UUGUUUUCUGUUGCUCCCUCAAGUGAUCAGGACCACGAGACAUUUAGGAGCACAUGGGUGACAUCUCAGCACAUGAGAACUGCUGGCAUGUAAUGCAGGCACGGUUAUCCCAAAGUCCUGGGUUGGUACAUGACACUAUUUUUAAACCAGAAAACUGUCUCCCAAAGGGAAGAAGAGAUGCCACAACACUGCAGGAUUCAGGUUUGGUAUUGACAGCAACAUGCCAUCCUCCGCACCCAGUGUUGCAGCUCUGAGGACCGGAGAUGUUGAGAGAUGCAACCUCAAAGCUGCUGUGAAGACUCCUGGGAUAAGUCACCUGGCCACCAAAAUCAACAUUUGGCUGAGCUUUGCAGAACCAUCACACUUCCUGCCCUCUCCCACCUCCUCUCGAGAAAAGAUGAAGGCUCGAUGUAACAGGUGCCCUACUUACCUGCAGCUUUGAUCUCUUGCAACUCUCCGUUAACAGAAGUUGGGAGUGAUUUCUGAGGGAGCCUCAGAGCAUGUGUAUUCACAGCCUGGAGAGCUGCUCUGCUUUCUGGGAGGGCUGGCUUUAUGAGACUUCAGAGGAAGGAGGGGAGGUAUUUUCCCUGUGCCGCUCCAGUUUUCCUCCCUGCUGCUUCUGAACUCUGUCAGCCUCAGGACCUCUGAUGUUUCUCAGGACAGACCCCACAGUGAACUUCUCUGAGCGACACCCAGGGGGUAAUGCACUCACAGGAGGCUUUGGCUUUCCCUGCAGCCCCAAAGAUAAGCUUCUGCAAUGCAUCUGCAGCUCCCGGUUCCCUCAGCCAGGCUGGGCUGUGAGCUGAUCCAGGCCCAGUGAGCAGUGGGCACAUGCCAUACAAGAGAAGAGUCUGUGUCCACCAUGACCUAAGCUCUGACACAACAGCCUGGACCAGUGGGUGUGCCCACUGCGAAGCCAGGGCUCUCCUGCAGUCCCAUGGACCAUGGCAAAGCAUGCACACAGUAUUUGAGGGGUUGGAUCUCCCCACCAAACCCAUCCCCAUAUAACUGCAGUGCCCUGUUUGCAAAGGUUGCACCUGUACCUUUGCAAAUCUCCAGGCAUUUCCAAAUCUCCAGGCAUGAACCAUGGCUGCACACCAACUCCUACGCUGCUGGGUCUUGGCCUCCCAUGUAAUCUCACUGCUGGGUGCCAUGCCCAUGACUUCUUACCAUAGAAUCAUAGAGUGACUUGGGUGAGGAGGGACAGGUUCAUCAGGUCAUCAGGUUCUAAUCUUUUCUUCUGGGAGGAAACCUGAGUAAAUACUGUUUGUCCAUUCUCCAGAUGUCUGUGUGUCCUAGAAUCAAAGAAUCAUUAAGGCUGGAAAGAAGACUGAGAUCACCUAGUCCCACUGUCCAACCCGUGUCCACCUAGACCAAAUCAUGGCCUGGGCAAGUGGAGGAAGAUGGGGUCUUCAUGAUCGAACAGGACACCCAGGAACGGCUGAAACUGCCACGUUAGCAGAGCUGUGCUCCCAGUCAGGUCUAGUGGUUGAUUUAAUGCCUGACAAUCAACAGAGGGGUAUGUGCCAUGCUGCUACAACCAAUGCCACCACCGCAUUCACAAAGAGACGGGAAAGUCAGAUGGCCUUGCUGCAAGAAAACUAACUAAAGUUUGAGUCAUUAUCAAACCUUCAUGCAGUUUCAUGGCAAAAGUAGUAACGCUUCCAUUCUGCUUAGGAUAUUUUACAUUAAAAAUCUCUGUAAAUUAUUUCGGCAUCAGAACUCACAAGAAUUCAGUAGUGGUAGUACUUUCUGACAUGGCCCUGCAACUCACCAUGAAAUGUCCUCAAGCAGAAAAAGGACUGAAGGUUUUUUUCCCAGUUGAUCAUUUCU